GAAAAUGCCUCGGAAAUCUCACAAAAGGCAAAAGAGUGACACCAGUGGCGAAAGACUCGACAUCAGGACCUAUUUCAAAAAGACAGCUGACAGUCCUGGAAGCAGCAACACAAGCACCAAGCCAGGUGGCGCUAUAACCUCUCAGACUUCACCCACUGUUCUCACUCCAUUGUAGGUGAAGGUGAAGGUGAAGGAGGAGAGUGACAGUGGUUCCUUGGCUGGACAUUCACAUCAGUUCAAAGUGAAAUUCAGUACAUGUCCCAGUACAAAAUACACCAUCCAAUGUGAUCAGCCUUGCACAGUACUGGAGGCUAUACAAUCUGAUGAAA